rnacentral:rRNA from 1 species
GACGAACGCUGGCGGCGUGCCUAAUACAUGCAAGUCGAACGCUUCUUUCCUCCCGAGUGCUUGCACUCAAUUGGAAAGAGGAGUGGCGGACGGGUGAGUAACACGUGGGUAACCUACCCAUCAGAGGGGGAUAACACUUGGAAACAGGUGCUAAUACCGCAUAACAGUUUAUGCCGCAUGGCAUAAGAGUGAAAGGCGCUUUCGGGUGUCGCUGAUGGAUGGACCCGCGGUGCAUUAGCUAGUUGGUGAGGUAACGGCUCACCAAGGCCACGAUGCAUAGCCGACCUGAGAGGGUGAUCGGCCACACUGGGACUGAGACACGGCCCAGACUCCUACGGGAGGCAGCAGUAGGGAAUCUUCGGCAAUAGACGAAAGUCUGACCGAGCAACGCCGCGUGAGUGAAGAAGGUUUUCGGAUCGUAAAACUCUGUUGUUAGAGAAGAACAAGGACGUUAGUAACUGAACGUCCCCUGGCGGUAUCUAACCAGAAAGCCACGGCUAACUACGUG